UAUCUACUUCCAACAUAUGAACGACUGUGGCCCGUUCGAAUAAUUCGAUUAUUCUUAAUAAAUUCAAUUAUUCUGGAAGUCAAAACAUGCAAAUGUGAAACACAAGAAUAAUACUAAUCCCAUAUGGCCUCAAACCUUUGAGUAUAAAUAAAACUCCUUUUAUUUAUCACCAUAUCGAUUACUCAUUAUUUGUCGUUUCGGGUAAUCAACUUCUUACUUGAAUUAUUACACUUGUCCCAUGCUCUUAGCAUGCACACAAUGUUUACCUAUGGUUCUUACUUUUGUGAAAUAGAUCAAAUUGAACACAUUUCCAAUCAUUCUCAUUUCACAACUCCAAAUCCUUUUUCAUAAGUGUGAGAAUAUCAAAUUCUUGUUACUUAUAAAAUAUGCUAGAUUCUAACAUUCUAUGCAAUGAUCCUUUCGUAAUGUCACUGCACCAAAGUCACAAAGACUAUUGCCAAUGAUAUUACAAAGUCCUCUAUCGGAGAUUGUUACAAGACAAUUCCUUAGAUAUGAUGUCUCUCACUCAAAGUACAUUCCUUUGAACAUCCUUUUGCAUAAAAGUUUCUAAUCUAGACAUAGAUUUUCAAUAUUCAAUUCCCAAUAUGGACACGCUUCCAUAUUUUCCAUAUGACAACUCAUUCUUAAUAGAAUCUUAUCUAUUCGUAAUGAUGUCGAUAUGGUCCAUCCAAUAUGGAAACAUUUCCAUAAUUUCCAUAUGACAACUCAUUCUUAAUAGAAUCUUUUCUAUUCAUAAUAAUGUCGAUAUGGUCCAUCCAAUACCAUGCUUCCAACUACUCACAAGCGACCAAUCCUCGUCGAACUUUGGAUUGUCCUUUGAUAGUUGUUUAAUUAUUUUAGUCAAAACCAAUUCUAGUCCCUUUUCCCUCUAAAUGCGCUCGACAUUUGGAAAAUUUUAGAAUGGUCAAACAUUAAAGCAUUUGCAAUCGAUCCUAUACCCGAAGCGUAUGGGACACGACGCAUAAUGUUUUAUUUGCUAUGUUCUCAAAAUUCGAAUUGUGAAGAGGAAUGCCGUAAUCAUAAUCGAAAUUUUAAGAACACACUAUGUACCUUUGACUAAAUUUAUUAACAUUUCUCAACCUAAGCCUUUAGAUUUGAAAUGAAGCAUAAUAUUCUCUCCCUUAAUUAUAGCAAAACAACUUUACAACCCUUACGACUUUGCAAGGUAUAACUCUUGUUUUCUAUAAUUAAUAUUGCCAACUUGCAAUACGUGCCUUAAUAAUCAUACAAUCAUAACAUUUAUGCUCCCACUAUCAUGAUGAUUAUUAUAAAACAUAACACUUAUGCUCCCACUAGCUUCGACAUGUAUUCAUAAACAUCUUAACUUUCAGAAAAACAAUACUUAUUGAAUUUCUUAAGUUCAUGUUUCUAAUACUUAGUGCUUUGAUAAUCCUUUAUCAAUGCUUCUUGAACUUAUACACCUUUGCCUUCGAUAGUUCAUAUGUGUGUCUAAACAAUUAAGACUAAUUGCCAAACCUCACAAUUCAAAUUAUGGAAAGGGAUACCGUAACCAUAAUCGAAUUCGAGAAUGCAAUUUUACAAUCACUAUCUUCUUAAAAUCUUUCUUAGUGAAAGCAUUUCCUCACAAUCAUUUUCAUGAAGGAGGAAAUCUUAUGACACUUAGAUUUAAACGGUGUAUGUGUUCCUAUCCAUGUGAAUUUGUUAAAACCAAAGUUUACGACAAAUUCAAACUCAUAUGGACCGAACUUUCUUAAUCUUGAUUUCUUGCCUUAUGGUAGCACAGCUGCCCACCAUGUCUUCCAAGUAGUUAAGCAGCUCACCCUUUCCUAUCAAUGUACCUUUCAUUGAUUAAGGUGCUUUGCCUUUUAUGCGUUCAAAAUGAGAACUCAUAGAACUCACAUGCAUAAUUAACUCGAUUGGAUUGGCACAGAAACAAAAUAAUGUCAACACGAUAGGUUGUAAACCUCAACUCGUGUGCUAGUGAUGAUCGAUAAGGUUUAUUUGAUUUGUUCUUGAAACCUUUCAAGACCAUUAAGACUCCCACUGACUCCUUGACAUAUAAGAUUCUCUUGUCAAUAAACAUUUCUUGACAAACAAAUAUUCAAGAGUUAGUGUAGUUUUUAUCAAAACACUUCAUAAAUUGGUCCUAGUUGGUCUUUGUCUUAUCCAAGACAUCACAACUUUCCACAUUUGAUGAAUGUUAUAAACCUUCUUAAUACUUUUCACUCAAUGUCACAAUCUUAACUCUAAGACUUGUUUUGGAACGAAGUAUGAUUGACUUCUUGAUUUAACCAUUUCUUCAAUUCUUGAUUCCUCUUCUUAGACAUACAAUUGUACUAAGACUCACUUAGAGGAUCAAUUGAGAUAUGGUUCUUAAUCAUUAAGACCUAUCAUAAAGCAUAAAAGCUACUCUCCCUUCUUCUUAGAAUGGAGAAACUUUUAUCUUUCUGCCUACUUGAUUCUUCUUAUUCGUUCUGCUAUUGAUUUAAACUUUUUCAAUCAAUUCAGAAUUACACUUAAUCUUAUAAGUAUAAUCAUAUUUACUAAACCUUUAGUAAAUCAUGACGAAUAUCUUUGUUACUCUUAUGGUGGACUUGAUCAACACGCAACUUUGUGUACUCGAUCUCCUAGUCCUUCACUUGACACUUUGUCAAUGAAUUAGUCUAAUUUCCAAAUAUGAAAUUUCUCAUUCAUCGUGCAACCAAGUUGCAUGAUUCCAAGUUUCUGUCCAAUUGAAACUUGGGCGAUGAGAAACUCUCCCUAUUUGGUAAACUCUCGACUUUCCAUAAAUAACAUAAUAAGAACCAAAUCCAUUAUUGCUAAUAAUAGAAACAUUCAAACAUCAAUUUUUCAUAUACGCCAUUGCAAGGAUAAAUAAAUAAUAUAAAAUCAAAAUUUAUUUUAUUGCGGAAAAAAUUUGUCCUUACAAUGCAAUUCAUUGAAAAACUAUGCUAAUACAUCUUUCUUAGCAAUCUAAUUCUAACUCUAAGUAGUAGCUCAAGAAUCUAAUCUUCGAGAAAUGCGAUCGAAAUCCAUUCCUUCACGGUUAGAUUCUGCUCACUUCUUCCCUUAAGCUUCCUUUCUUUUCUUCGAUCCUACAAAACAUCAAUUGUAAUCUUAUCACAUUAUGUAUUAAGAAUCUAGAAUAGAAGCUUAAAAGAGUUAGUUAAUGGAUUUUACCUAUAUUAGAGCCAUACGUUUCGACUCUCCCAUCUCUUAGAUCUCUUAGGUAAAUGGGGCAGCUUCGUCUCCAAUGCCCUUUCUCUUGGCAAUAAAAGCAAAUUGACUCUUUUGGAACAUGACAUGGAACUACUUCAGACAUUGCCUUUCUCUUAUGAUCAAACUUUUCGAUCAUAGCAUGUCUUUCGUUGCCAUUGUCUAUAUCCAUAGAGGUCUUGAAGGCAGAUUCACCAAUCAACUUUGCUUUUCUAUUGCGCCAAACCAUUGCUGAUUCAGCAGCAAUAAGCAUAUAGGUGAGAUCUAUAAGGGUCACGUCGCGGUUCAUCAUAUAGUACUCUCUUACGAACUCACUAUAUGAGUUAGGAAGUGACUGAAGAACCCAAUCAACAGCCAUUUCCUCACAGACAACGGAUCCCAACAUUCUUAACCUAUCAAUGUGUGACUUCAUCCCUAGGACGUGUGCACACACCGACUUUCCUUCUUUAUGUUUACUUGCCAAAAGGGCUUGAGUGAUCUUGAACUUUUCAAGCCUUUGAACUUGUGGGUUAGGGAGAAUAAUUGGAGGAGGAGGAGGAAGUGAAGCAUGAUUUCUUGUUCCUCGAUCGAAUCGUGGAAUAUCAUCUUCAUGUGGAAUGCUUGUUCCACGGGAUUUGGGAAGACCAUAGUUGUCGAACUUUGACAUCUACAAAACGGGAGAAAACGAAUUCAAGUUAGUUGAUUGAUUGAGUCCUUAGUAAAUCACCCAAAUGAGAUACUAAGGCUAGGACCCAACACAAUAUUCUACAACUCGGGAGAGGGAUGCCGUAACCCUAAUUGCAGAAUAUUUGAAGGUAAGUGAAUGACGAUUCACUAAUUUCCACCAUGAAAAACGAAAAAGAAAUUUAAGUUUUAAAUCUAUGAAAACUCCUAGAUCCUUUGAGAUUCAUUGAACUUUCAAUGGCAUGUUUAAAUCUCGAUAUGCCCCUCUUGUUUGUGACUGGGAUGCCGAGGAUCACAAAGCGGGUGUGAAUAACCAUGCAAACUUACAUGGUGCCCUCACAUGUUACAGUCACCUAUUCGAUGUGCCGGUAAACCACACACGCUCCACCGAACUAUGACAAACAUUGAGUCACCCUUUGCUACCUUUGCUUAGAACCAUUUAGUGUGCCGGUAAACCACACACGCUCCACUAACGUCUUCGCAAGGGCACAAAGUGUAAUUUCAUGGAAUUGCAUCAAUUCACUUUUGCCUAAGUAACUAAGAUUGGGAAUUUUAUGAAAACAUUUAGUUACUUUAAUAAUUCAUUAUACUUAUAAUGGAAGGUUUCGUCCUAUCCUACCCGUUCGGCUAACGACCCUCCACUAGUCAAGAGUGCGGUGGGUAAGAGUGGAUACCCAUUCAAUCGCCAUUUUAUAGGCAAUUUCCUUAAACACCCCUUAUAGACCAGCUUCGUGAAUGAGGCCUACUAACGGUAAGACUGACUUUUACUCAUACAUAUAUAUAAUGUUAGACUUUUAAUGUUAUAUAUAGUAUAGGGUGUAUUUUAUACUUUCAAAAUACUAGGUGGUCUAAUUUAACAAUUAUACUUUUAAUUCAAUUAAAUUGUAAACCUAAACUUUUAUGGAUUUAUUAAACCUCUUUUAAUUAUACACCUUAAUUAAUUAAUAAAACCAUAAGGGUGUGAUUUGAACUUUUUCAAAACUAUACUAGAGUUUUAGAAUUUAACAUUCCUAAUUAAACUUUUAAUCAACUUUUAAAUUCCAAAACUUGAGGGCAAGUUUUGAAACAUUUCAACACAUUAGGGUUUAGAAUUUAAAUAUACAUCAAAAUUAAACCAUUUAAUCAAAAUUUAAAUUCCAAAACUUGAGGGCAAGUUUUGAAACCUUUUUCAAAACAUUAGGGUUUUAACUAUUUAAAUUUCAAAACAACAAAACUUUUGGGUUCAAAUUUAAACUAUAAAACCUAAAGGGGAAAAUAUGAAACAUUUCAUAACCACAAGGAUCAAAUAACAAAUAAUCUAAAUUAACAUUUAAUCACAUAAUUAUCCAUAUUUGAUUUAUUUAAUGAUUUCUUGCAAAACAAUUUAUCAAUUUAGUCAAAAUAAUUAAUCAAUUAUCACAUAAGGAAACAAUUAUCUUAUUAAUUGAUAAAUAUCUUCAAUUAGAUCAAGAAUAUAGUCAAAUAUAUCAUAAAAUCGGAUUUAUAUUGAUCUAAUAUGAUAAGGUAACUAUCCCAAAGCAAAAACAGCAAGAAAUCCCGAGAUAUGCUCCAUCUGACGAGUUGACUCGUCGAGUCAAGCUUGGACUCGUCGAGUCUGCAUGGACUCGGCGAGUCCAGCCUCCAGAAACCAAAAAAUCGAAUUUUUCAAACAUAUCAAGCAUCAAUACAAUAGAAACCAAUCUAGGCUCUGAUACCACUGAUGGGUUUUGGUCAUAAGACAUCCUAUGUGCUCAUACAAACCCUAAUGCUUGGAUCUAGGUUUCUCUAUUGUACAUGCUUUGAAUCCAAGACUAUAAACCCUAAUUCUAGCAUAUGGAAAUCAAUAUUAACAUAUAAUUAGGUUUAUGAUAUUACCUUGAUUGUUAUGUAGCAAUAACAAUCCCAAUUCCUCCUUGAAUUGACUUUGGAAGGCUUAGAGUCACAAGUGUCACUCCUCUAAUGGCUCACAAACACCAUAAGCAAGAGGAUGAAGAGGAGAGAGGAUGGAGGCUGCCCAAAACGUGUUCUAACCCUAGAAAAGAAGUUCCCCACGUUUUUGAGCCUUAAGGGUUCUAUAUAUAGUGAGGCUAUUAGGGUUAUCUAACAAGGAAACCCUAAUUUGGAUGCUUAAGCCCUAAGCAACCCAUGGAGCCCUUUCCUUAAGGCCUUGGACGAUUUCAUAUGGGCUUCCCCCAUAGAAUUCGUCCACCUUAUAAUAUAAGGCAAUCCAUGGCCCAAAUUGCAAUUAUCUUAUAAUUACAAUUCCAGUCCCUUAAGUUUAAUUAAUCUCUUUUAGUCACAAAACUAAUUACCAAUUAAUUCUUGACUAAUAUUAAUUAAACAAUAUGAUUUCUCCUUUAAUAUAUUAUUCUCAUAAUAUAUUAAUAAAUCAUAUUUAAUCCUUUCUCUCCAUAAUUCAUCCUAUCAAGUUGCUUUGGUGAAGGCAACCCAAAAGGACCAUGCACCAUCGGGUCAAGUACAUACCAAAAUAGUUAUGGACUUAGACACUAAUCCAACAGUCUCCCACUUGGAUAAGUCUAAUAACUAUUAUGCGUAUGACUUCAGAUCCUGAUCUGCAAUCGUAGCUUUCCAAAGCCGCUGUCAACUCUGAUCCUAUCAGAUACGCGUGUCCUUAGAUAAGGGAUCAUAUAUUCCUCCAUUCUAGAUAUCAUAUGAGAUAUGAUUUCAAAUCAUUCUCUUUGUACUAUAUCUCGAUUUCCGAUUUAUGACGACUGACUAAUUGAACAAAUCAAAUUAGCCCUAGCCCGGCCGAGCAUUUACGUUUGUCAUCACUAAAUCAUCGAGGGGCCCAAAGAUAUCGCUUUUAUCCUACUUUGGAUAAAAGGAACGGAUAAACUUUGAUUCAAUGCUCGCUUGCACUCACUCACCGAAUCACACACAACAAUAUGUUUUAUGACACCAAGUUACUGGUGCGUUUACAUAUUAUCAAUGUGCAACCGAUUUGCAAGAUACAACUCACACAUCUCGGUUUCAAGAAUAUAAGAUGUUAUCGUCUCACCAAUCACUCGUGAUACAAUUCAUGAAGUGAUCCAAGUGAGCGUGGGUUUAAUCCAAUGCUCAAAUCAUAUUCAUAAGCACUCAUGAACGUUGCAGCAAACAUUUGCUUAUGUCUAAUACUCUUUAGACAAUCCACACACCAAUUCACGACAGUCUUCAUUCAUACCUACUUCCAACAUAUGAACGACUGUGGCCCGUUCGAAUAAUUUGACUGUUCUUAACCAAUUAAAUUAUUCAGGAAGUCAAAACAUGCAAAGUGAAACACAAGAAUAAUACUAAUCCCAUAUGGCCUCAAACCUUUGAGUAUAAAUAAAACACCUUUUAUUUAUCACCAUAUCGAUUACUCAUUAUUUGUCGUUUCGGGUAAUCAACUUCUUACUUGAAUUACUACACUUGUCCCAUGCUCUUAGCAUGCACACAAUGUUUACCU
rnacentral:lncRNA from 1 species